rnacentral:sRNA from 1 species
UCAGAGCUGAUAAGUGCUCGGGUGUG